rnacentral:miRNA from 1 species
AUUCCAUUGUUCUUGGCCAUU